rnacentral:ncRNA from 1 species
CUGAAGCAGGUCCCAAGGGUUUGGCUGUUCGCCAAUUAAAGCGGUACGUGAGCUGGGUUUAGAACGUCGUGAGACAGUUCGGUCCCUAUCUGGCGUGGGCGCAGGAAGUUUGAGGGGAUCUGUCCCUAGUACGAGAGGACCGGGAUGGACGCACCGCUAGUGUACCAGUUGUCUCGCCCGAGGCAUCGCUGGGUAGCUAUGUGCGGAAGGGAUAAACGCUGAAAGCAUCUAAGCGUGAAGCCUACCCCAAGAUAAGACUUCCCUUCCCCUUCGGGGGACUGAAGGCCCCUUGUAGACUACGAGGUUGAUAGGCCGGGUGUGUAAGUGCAGCAAUGUACUUAGCUUACCGGUACUAAUAGGCCGUGAGGCUUGACCAU